AGAACCUGAAACCGUGUGCUUACAAGUAGUCAGAGCCCGUUAAUGGGUGAUGGCGUGCCUUUUGUAGAAUGAACCGGCGAGUUACGAUUUGAUGCAAGGUUAAGCAGUAAAUGUGGAGCCGUAGCGAAAGCGAGUCUGAAUAGGGCGUUUAGUAUUUGGUCGUAGACCCGAAACCAGGUGAUCUACCCUUGGUCAGGUUGAAGUUCAGGUAACACUGAAUGGAGGACCGAACCGACUUACGUUGAAAAGUGAGCGGAUGAACUGAGGGUAGCGGAGAAAUUCCAAUCGAACCUGGAGAUAGCUGGUUCUCUCCGAAAU
rnacentral:rRNA from 1 species